UACGUAGGUGGCAAGCGUUUGUCCGGAUUUACUGGGCGUAAAGGGCGUGCAGGCGGUCUGUUAAGUGCAGGGUGAAAGCUCCCGGCUCAACUGGGAGAGGUCCUUGCAUACUGGCGGACUUGAGGGGGGUAGAGGAAAGUGGAAUUCCCGGUGUAGUGGUGAUAUGCGUAGAUAUCGGGAGGAACACCAGUGGCGAAGGCGGCUCACUGGCCCGAUACUGACGCUGAGGCACGAAAGCGUGGGGAGCAAACAGG
rnacentral:rRNA from 1 species